rnacentral:rRNA from 1 species
UACGGAGGGUGCAAGCGUUAUCCGGAUUCAUUGGGUUUAAAGGGUGCGUAGGAGGGCAGGUAAGUCAGUGGUGAAAUCUCCGAGCUUAACUUGGAACUGCCGUUGAUACUAUCUGCCUUGAAUAUUGUGGAGGUGAGCGGAAUAUGUCAUGUAGCGGUGAAAUGCUUAGAUAUGACAUAGAACACCAAUUGCGAAGGCAGCUCGCUACACAUAUAUUGACUCUGAGGCACGAAAGCGUGGGAUCAAACAGG